AUUGAACGCUGGCGGCAGGCCUAACACAUGCAAGUCGAGCGGUAGCACAGAGAGCUUGCUCUCGGGUGACGAGCGGCGGACGGGUGAGUAAUGUCUGGGAAACUGCCUGAUGGAGGGGGAUAACUACUGGAAACGGUAGCUAAUACCGCAUAAUGUCGCAAGACCAAAGUGGGGGACCUUCGGGCCUCAUGCCAUCAGAUGUGCCCAGAUGGGAUUAGCUAGUAGGUGGGGUAAUGGCUCACCUAGGCGACGAUCCCUAGCUGGUCUGAGAGGAUGACCAGCCACACUGGAACUGAGACACGGUCCAGACUCCUACGGGAGGCAGCAGUGGGGAAUAUUGCACAAUGGGCGCAAGCCUGAUGCAGCCAUGCCGCGUGUGUGAAGAAGGCCUUCGGGUUGUAAAGCACUUUCAGCGGGGAGGAAGGCGGUGAGGUUAAUAACCUCAUCGGUUGACGUUACCCGCAGAAGAAGCACCGGCUAACUCCGUGCCAGCAGCCGCCGUAA
rnacentral:rRNA from 1 species